rnacentral:rRNA from 1 species
AUACGUAGGGGGCGAGCGUUGUCCGGAAUGAUUGGGCGUAAAGGGCGCGUAGGCGGCCAGGUAAGUCUGGAGUGAAAGUCCUGUUUUUAAGAUGGGAAUUGCUUUGGAUACUGUCGGGCUUGAGUGCAGGAGAGGUAAGUGGAAUUCCCAGUGUAGCGGUGAAAUGCGUAGAGAUUGGGAGGAACACCAGUGGCGAAGGCGACUUACUGGACUGUAACUGACGCUGAGGCGCGAAAGUGUGGGGAGCAAACAGGAUUAGAUACCCUGGUAGUCCACACUGUAAACGAUGAAUGCUAGGUGUAGGGGGUAUCGACCCCUUCUGUGCCGCAGUCAACACAAUAAGCAUUCCGCCUGGGGAGUACGGCCGCAAGGUUGAAACUCAAAUGAAUUGACGGGG